rnacentral:tRNA from 1 species
UGAAAAAUGUUUUAGUUUUUAAAAAUUAUUCUUUAAUUUUAGUAAAAUAAAUUUUUAUAUGAUAUUUGUAAGAUAUUUUAUAUUUUGUUAUAACUUUUUUACUAUUGAUUUUUUAAUAUGGAAAUAAUUAAAUAUUUAUUGUAAUGUUUUUAUUUAAAUAUAUGAAUUCUUUUUUAUUCGAUAAAUAUUUUAA